UACGGGGGGGGCAAGCGUUGUUCGGAAUUACUGGGCGUAAAGGGCUCGUAGGCGGCCAACUAAGUCAGACGUGAAAUCCCUCGGCUUAACCGGGGAACUGCGUCUGAUACUGGAUGGCUUGAGGUUGGGAGAGGGAUGCGGAAUUCCAGGUGUAGCGGUGAAAUGCGUAGAUAUCUGGAGGAACACCGGUGGCGAAGGCGGCAUCCUGGACCAAUUCUGACGCUGAGGUGCGAAAGCGUGGGGAGCAAACAGG
rnacentral:rRNA from 1 species